GGUCUGGCCUCACCCCCUCUCGUAACCCCUCGAUGGUAUCGUCCGUAUACAAAACCGGAAAUGGCCCCCGGGCGGCGCCAUGUUGGGAAGGGCGAAGCAGAAAGGAAGCGAAACUGAGCGCCGCCAUUUUGGAAGAGGCUGGUCAGGCGGAAGUGACUCCUGGAAGCCGCCAUGUUUGACUCACAGGAAGCGACCCGAUUGUGGGCACCGCCAUCUUGGCACCCCUCACCGGAAGUUCGCAACUGGGCAUCGCCAUAUUGAAAGUGGUCUUUACGGCACUGUGGGCUGGGCGCCGCCAUGUUGGGAAGACGGCGCUGGACGGUGAGCGGGACCCUGUGUUCGGCUAUCGCUUCAGUGCGCCGUGAGCACGGGCUAUCUCGGCGUUCAUCUCUCUCUGCAGCGUCCCGCCCGUGGCCUUCUGCUCAUUCCCAUCGCGAAGGACCGGGGAGGGACCCGCCGCAAAGCCGCCCCCGGGCAACUCCCAGCGGGUCGCGGAGGACACGAAAUUGUAGAAAAGAUCCUGGGGUCCUGAUCCUGUCAUCUCACACCUGCUUAGGCUUCAUCGGGGGACGUCCGACUGGCACGACGGAGGUCCCCGUUACGCCCUGAACAGGGGCCUUGGACAUUGGCCUGGGAACUAUUUCUGAAAGAACUCGGCGCAAAGCUCACCGCCUCCCCGUGGCCCUGCACCGCCCUGAAGGCAGCUCACGGCUCUUUGCUGCUCUGUUAACCCUGCUCGCUUUUCUUCUUCAAUAAAGCUUAGUUCGUUUCGUAAGAAUUGGCUGUCGCGAGGACUUGGGUGAGGUCCGGACUAUUCAUUCACCUGGGAGGUGAGAGCGCAGCAGCCGUGUGAGUCCAAAUCCGCAAAAAGAACAAGGGGGGCGCGUGGCAGGGGGGGACCAACACAUUGAUUAGAGCGUGAGCUCUCCCGAGCCACAGCCCGCUUCCCCGGAGAGCUUGUUGGGGACCCUGGGGCAUGGCCACUAGGUAGCUCGAGGGGAUGGAAAACCACGAGUGUCGAUGAAGCCCCCUCGCACUAGGCCCAAGUGUCCUUGGCCCCCGCUCCCGCCUGGAGGCACUCGCAGCAGUUAUGCUGAGGAUCUGCAACAAUGUGCUGCGGAGUCAGACUGCCUGAAACUAAGGGAGGCCGAACAGGGCAGAUAUAAAAAAACAAUGCUAAAUAAAGCAGCUUUAUGUAUAGUUUAACAAAUGAUACAGAGAACAAGGGAACUGGAUUGCCUGGCUAGAUGGAUACUUAGGGCAGCUUGCUAUUGGAUAAGUAUGCUGAAGAAAGGAUGUAUAAAAGCCUGUGUAACUUCCUGCUCUGGGUGCAGGAUUUGAGAUUUUAUUCUCCCUGGACCUUUUUGCAGCUUAAAAUAAACUUUUCUGCGUCUCCA